rnacentral:rRNA from 1 species
GCUCUGGCUGGGUGGUCCGCCUUUCGGCUGGUACUGCUCCGGCUGGGGUUCUCCUUCUGGCGGGCUAGCAUGCAACUUGUUGUGUGUUAGUGCGCCAGGACGUUUACUUUGAAAAAAUUAGAGUGUUUAAAGCAGGCCUAUGCUUGAAUACAUUAGCAUGGAAUAAUAGAAUAGGACUUUGGUUCUAUUUUGUUGGUUUCUAGGACCGAAGUA